AAACACUUUUCAAUCAACUUUCACUAGUAUUGUUCAAAUAAUUUCCUAGUUAAUAUUUCCCUUUGGAGUUCGAAUUAUUUGUUACAUACUUUGUUCGUGGUACGCUCUUUUCAUUGUAGAAUUAUUCAAGUUUCAAGUUUUGAAAUAGGUAACACUCUCCUAAAAGAUAUCCAGCAGCAAUGCUCCUCAAGAGAAUCUUGAAACUACUGGGUAAGAGUCCAGAAAUUUGGGGAUAUCUGAACUGCCGUCAAAAUUUGAACAGGUAAAAACAUAAUUAGAAAGGAAAAUUUUCGCUUUUGAAUUGUGGUCUAUUUCUAGAACUAGAGGGAAUUUUAAGCUCUUUUACAGCUAAUGUCAUCACACUUGGACGAUAUCACAAGGGCUUUGCAAUAUAGGAAUUAAAAAAGAAUCAUUUUUAGGUAACAAAUCAAUUUUGACUAAACGUCUCUCUAAUAAUGUGUCCUCCGCUGUGAUUUUGACCGCAGUUCAAACAGAGAUUCUGUCAGUCCGGAUAGGCUAAAACACUUUGUACCGUAAUUCGGUGGUAUGUAUCGAGAAAUUUUUGCUCAACAUUUGGAGGAAUUGAUAAUGAGACAAUAAUCAAUAAUCUUAUUCCAAAAUAAAGUAUAAAAAGUUCAAACAAAAAAUUUACACGAUAAAGUCUUCGCAACAGUUUUUUGGGCUAAAGAAGGACUUUUGCUAUUAAGGUUUAUACUACCUGAGACGAUCAUAUCAAAAGGAAACUAUGCAAAAUAGUUUAAAGUUUUGUGUGAUUCUAUCAACUUGAAAAGGCAUGAAAUCCACACGUCAGAUGUACUGCUCUUUCACAAAAACCSACUGGAGCAUAUAUUAGCAAAUGUACAGGUCGCCAUCUAAAUCUGUAGUGCCCASCAGUAUAACCAUUUACURUACAGUCCUAAUCUAUCUUCUUUCAGUUAAAUUUUGUUGGAAAUUAUCUUAAACGGCAGGAUUUUUUAAGAAUGCAGGAGCCACCAGUCAAAAAUGUAAAAAUCAAAUCCAUUUACUUAGUAARUUUAGAGAAUGCUAUCAUAACGUGUGGUACAAUUUUGUUAAAUGCAUAAAUAAACAAUUUAAGUCCAUUAUAUGUGCUU